rnacentral:rRNA from 1 species
AUACGGAGGGUGCAAGCGUUAUUCAGAAUCACUGGGCGUAAAGGACGCGUAGGCGGGAAGCCAAGUCUGAUGUGAAAUCCUAUGGCUUAACCAUAGAACUGCAUUGGAAACUGGUUACCUAGAGUAUGGGAGGGGGAGAUGGAAUUAGUGGUGUAGGGGUAAAAUCCGUAGAUAUCACUAGGAAUACCGAAAGCGAAGGCGAUCUCCUGGAACAAUACUGACGCUAAGGCGUGAAAGCGUGGGGAGCAAACGGGAUUAGAAACCCGAGUAGUCC